rnacentral:rRNA from 1 species
UUAAGUAGACCGCCUGGGGAGUACGGUCGCAAGAUUAAAACUCAAAUGAAUUGACGGGGGCCCGCACAAGCGGUGGAGCAUGUGGUUUAAUUCGAUGCAACGCGAAGAACCUUACCUACUCUUGACAUCCAGAGAAUCUAGCGGAGACGCUGGAGUGCCUUCGGGAGCUCUGAGACAGGUGCUGCAUGGCUGUCGUCAGCUCGUGUUGUGAAAUGUUGGGUUAAGUCCCGCAACGAGCGCAACCCUUAUCCUUGUUUGCCAGCACGUAAUGGUGGGAACUCCAGGGAGACUGCCGGUGAUAAACCGGAGGAAGGUGGGGACGACGUCAAGUCAUCAUGGCCCUUACGAGUAGGGCUACACACGUGCUACAAUGGCGUAUACAGAGGGCAGCGAUACCGCGAGGUGGAGCGAAUCUCAC